CAUAGGUCCGUCUGAAUCGAGCUGCAGUGCAGAGCCUGAAUGGGGGGCUUGGCCCCGGGCCAGGAUGGUCAAAAUUAGCUCUCUGUUCAAUUAUAUGCAGUCAGUCAGUGGACGCGGUGUCGUCGGAAUCUGACGCCCCAGUCCUGCAGCCUUGUAUGGGGUGUAAGAGUCCCCACAAGGCUGCUUACCACCGCCUGGAGUCUUUUUCUGUGCACACAAGCGUUCUGGGGGCAACAGCCGGCGAAAAAGCAAUUUAAAAGGACAACAAGAAGAAAGGCUUUAUCUGUUGCUGCUUCAAAAAUGACCCCAGCAGGAGCUUUGAGAGAUCCCAUGAGCGCUGACAGCUGUGUUCCUGACCCUGGUGGCACGGAGAAGAACUGCCACAAAAAACCAGCAUUCCUUCUGUGUGAUGUAGGAUAGAGAAUGACCUAUCCUCAUGUGUAUUUUUUAUUUCCUAAAUCAUGUAUAUCCUUAUUUUUUAUGGUUAUGGCGUGUGAUAAAGAUGAAUUAUGACGCUGGGGCUUUUUCCCCCAUCUUAAUAAUAUUUUAGAAAAUCCUGGGACUCUAAGCCUUGAUGAUAUGAUCUUUGGAGGGGAGCGGCAGUAAAGACAUACAGCACCUUAAGACAGAUCUGACCGACUGGAGCUUCACUAAAGACCCACAUGUCUGUGUUUGCAAACUCCACAGGGGCCCUCAGGGGCCCGGAAUCCUCACGUCGGCAGCAACAGCACGUCUUCCACUUGUCCACUCCUAUUUUGCACAGCUGUAAUCUUUCAUCCACCUGAUUGUUCAUAAUUCCUGUAAACAAACCCACCCAUGUGUUAACCUACACGCCAGUGUUCUGUAUGUAUUUCCAUGGGAUGAUACUGUAAACAUGCCAAACAUUAGUGGUCGACCGAUAUUUUUUUUAAAUUUUUUUUUUAAUUGGCCGAUACCAAUGAGAGAAUUUUAAAAUUGUGAUUUCCAGGCCCGGAAAUGUCAUCAAAUGUCAAAAACUUUAAAAGUGGAAAUUUCUAUAGAGUAAUAUACAUUUUUAUCUUGUAUGCGCUGCUCUAAAUUAUUUAAUCGGCUAGAAAUUGCUCCGUAAAAUUAUUAUUUGUAUUUUUUUGGAUUUUUCCCCUUUUUCUCCCAAUUUGGAAUGCACAGUUCCCAAUGUGCUUUUAAGUCCUCGUGGUCGUGUAGUGAUUGCCUCCGUGUCUGAGACUGUCAACCCGUGCAUCUUAUCAUGUGGCUUGUUGAGCGCGUUGCCACGGAGACGUAGCGCAUGUGGAGGCUUCACGCUCAACUCACCACACGCCCCACCGAGAACGAACCACAUUAUAGCGACCACGAGGAGGUUACCCCAUGUGACUCUACCCUCCCUAGCAACCGGGCCAAUUUGGUUGCUUAGGAGACCUGGCUGGAGUCACUCGGCACACCCUGGAUUUGAACUAGCGAGCUAGUGAACUCCAGGGGUGGUAGCCAGCGUCUUUACCAUUGAGCUACCCAGGCCCCCCCAUAAAAUGAUUAUUAAAUAUCCAGUAAUCUUGAACGACUAGUAAAAUCAAGAAAAAUGUAUUGCUUAAAAGCAGGGCUGUUAAGAGCAUGGUGGCCGAAAUAAUGCUGAUAUUAAUUAAAUACUUUUUAAAAGUACACUAGAUUGCUAAAUUUAAACAAAACCUUAUUUUACGCAAUUUAAAAUUCUCUGAAACUAUGAUAAAGGAAUAUUCCGGGUUCAAUGCAAGUUCAGCUCAGUCGACAGCAUUUGUGGCAUAAUGUUGAUUACCACAAAAACUAAUUUCGACUCGUCCUUCGUUUAUAUAUAUAUAUAUAUAUAUAUAUAUAUAUAUAAACAAAAACAAUUACAGUGAGACACUUACAACGGAAGUGAAUGAGGCCAUUCUGUAAACACAUUAAAAUACUCACCGUUUCAAAUAGCCACGAGACAAACAAUAUAAGUGUUAAAAUGAUUUCAGUGUGAUAAAAUCAGUGAUUUAUCAGUAUUGUGCCAUUUUCCAGAUUAUAGGGUUUACCGCUGUUAUGUUCUAAUAUUGGAUAUAACUUCACACAGAUAUGAUUAGAAGGUGAUUUUAUCACACUAUAAUCAUAUUAACACGUAUAUUGUUUACGUCUUGCGGCUAUAAUUUUGAAACUGUGCGUUUUAGCAUUUAUGGACUGCCCCAUUCACUUGCACUGUUAGUGUCUUACAGUAACUGCGAUUUUUGCUUCCUUUUUUUGUCUUAAUAAACAAGCAACAAGUUAACGGAAUACUCCUUUAAUCGGGCGACGUCAACAAUCUCAAAAUAGCCAAAUGUUGGCCGGACCAAUAUAUAUGUAUAUUGGCCUAUCACUACCAAACACACACACAUGCACACCCAAACACUUCAGUUUCACUAUGUUCUUGCCAGAACACGCUCGGAUUCGCCCAUCUCAUCUCCAUCACUAAACAACUUCAAUCAAUACUCACACUUUACAGUAUUUACUGAGGCUAAGAGUCCCCACUUCUCAUGCAGUUACUAAAAAAAGCUACGGAAGUUCAUCAUUUUUUUUUGUUUGUUCUAUUUUUAGAAUUUGCUUAUUAAGAUUUGCUUUCAAUUUUUGUGUUUCUUUGCCAGUAUAUUAAAGUGUAAUCAUGUACGUUGUGAUAUAUAAAUAGCUGUAGAGACGCAUUGUUUCCUUGUGGUAAGUGACUGAGAUGCUGCCACGGAUUUGAGACACUGAUGAAUGGUGCUAUUUUGGACUUUUAUCUGCUCCUUGGUAAGGAAGUUCAGAUGGUUUUUAUUUUAUAUUUUCAUGUUGGGAGGAGGUGUUGGUUCUUUGUUGUCUGGUUGUCGUAACUCGGAUCGGAUUGACUUUAUUCCCUUUGUUGUUUUCCGUGCGGCUUUCUCAUUGGACAGAAAAACGGAUUUGUCGAAGAGUUUUGCGAAAUUACGAAAAUAUAAAUGGUCAGAGCAAUCACAAAACUGCAAUUUUUAACACCAUUUACCCUUUAUUGUAAAGGUUUGUUCAAGGAGUAGUUACAAUUUCUGGCACUAGUCACUUCUGGCAAUAGACAACUCUGCAUAGUCUAAACUAGAUAAGGAAUUUGACAUUUUUUGUUGUUCGCAAUUGCUUCCGUAAAGGUAAAGUGUGUAAUUUUGCCCUGUUUAAUAUGCAGAGUCAACUAUAAAUAAGCCAUUCGUAGGUUUAUUCACUGUAACUCUGUGGCACUAUCAAAACAUUGCUCUGUUUGUUUGAGCAUCCCGACCAGCUCAACACGGCAACAUUGAGUUUUCUGUUUGGACGACCAAUGGAAGACAGGAUGAGUGUUCACAUGUAUUCUGUUUCAGAAAUUACACACUUUACCUUUAAAAACAUCAAGGACACUUUCAAAUAGAAAUCACUGUAUAACAUGGGGGUGUUGCUGUUGUAGGUUGCUGUGCACAGUCCCAGGUGAUGGUGGUUUAUAUAGUGUAUAUACCAGGGCAGCUGUAUACUCUACACCAGCUGGGAAUAUCUAAUGAAAAACACAAGUCAUCCGUCUAAUGCACGGGGUCCUUUGAUGUAUUUUCUAGGGCUAAAAUGUAGCAUCAAAACCAACGGUCUCAUUGACGUUUUUAGCGAGUGGUUUUGUAAAUGACUUUUAUUGGUUUUAGGAUACAAACCUAAAGCUUUCUAUUUAUUCGUUUGGGUGAUUAAUUUAUGUAGCAAGGUAUCGUCACUCUGUAUUUGCAGUUUUGUCUUUGCUUCCAGUUAACGCAUACUUUUAACAAUCCUAAUUCAAAGACCAACUGGAAAGCCCACGUUAGUUUUGUCGUCUUCCAUUUUUUUUCCCACUCUAGUGGGGACAUUCCCAGCUUGCUUUAGUCUUUCCCUAGUGGUUAUGGCAUAUCCACUGCAUGCUCUUUGCUCUUGGUUUUGUUUUUUAAACUAAAUCAUUGUAUUUGUAGUUUCCUCACUUAGAAUAGGUAUGCCAACUGUGUUGUAAAUAGCCAAGUGAAUAGCUUGUAGUAUGUUGAAUUAUUCUGUAAUAACUGUGUAUUAUUGGUGUACAAACAUAAAGUCUAGCCUUGUGAACUUUGUAAUGAUUCACUAGUAUUUCAUGACAUUUUGAAACUUAAGCUGUAGUUAAUAAAUAUGCAAGCUCUGACAA